UGUGUGGGUCACUGAACCAGUCUUGCACUCGAAAACCCAAGCAGUGAAUAAGCAUGUAGAAGGCGUUGCGACGCUUUGUCCGGACGCGGGUUCGAGUCCCGCCAGCUCCACCA
rnacentral:tmRNA from 1 species